AUUCAACGGACGAGUCUUAAAUAGGACGUAACGCGCAUCCUGAAU
rnacentral:hammerhead_ribozyme from 1 species